UACGAAGGGGGCUAGCGUUGCUCGGAUUGACUGGGCGUAAAGGGCGCGUAGGCGGUUUGCAUAGUCAGACGUGAAAUUCCUGGGCUUAACCUGGGGGCUGCGUUUGAUACAUGCAGGCUUGAGUUCGGAAGAGGGUCGUGGAAUUCCCAGUGUAGAGGUGAAAUUCGUAGAUAUUGGGAAGAACACCGGUGGCGAAGGCGGCGACCUGGUCCGAUACUGACGCUGAGGCACGAAAGCUAGGGGAGCAAACAGG
rnacentral:rRNA from 1 species